rnacentral:lncRNA from 1 species
CAGUCAUCUUGCAUAGGAUGUCGGCAAUCUCAGAAACCUCUGGGAGUCUGCUUUUCAUGUAGCAAACAACCUAGUAAGAAAAACUAGCUUUGGAGCCAGCCCCGGCUGGAAAAAAUGAAGCUAAAUGAAACUCUCUCCACAAUAUUGGGCUAAAACCUUUUGAUGUUUCUUGCUGAGCCUACCUGGCUAAUGCCAUCAGUGAAAGACAAAUCAGAACAGAUGAAGAAUGUGACUUUCAGGGGAUGAAUGGAAGCGCCUCCUCUGGCUCAUGCUGGUGGGAGAAAAUGAACCAGCCCUGCUUUCUCUCCCUGGUUCAAUUCCCAGCAAAGGAAAAACAAUGUAAUUCAUGAUGAUGAUGACAAUGACAAUGACGACAACAACAAUAACCAACCUUUAACACAUCCUUAUAAUGUGCCAGACCCUGCGGAUCACUGUGAAAAGAACAUGAGAUGCCCUUUGCAGGGACAUGGAUGGAGCUGGAAGCCAUUAUCUUCAGCAAACUAACACAGGAACAGAAAACCAAAUACUGCAUGUUCUCACUUAUAAGUGGGAGCUGAACCAUGAGAACAUGGACACAGGGAGGGGAACAACGCACACUGGGGCCUGUGGAGGGCAGGCGGGGGGAGGGAGAGCAUCAGGAUAAAUAGCUAAUGCAUGCUGGGCUUAAUACCUAGGUGAUGGAUUGAUAGGUGCAGCAAACCACCAUGGCACACAUUUACCUAUGGAGCAAACCUGCACCUCCUGCACAUUUACCCCAGAACUUAAAAUAAAAUAAAAUUUAAAAAGGACACGAGAUAAUGUAAGAAAGUAGUUAGCCCAUAGAAAGCUGUUACUAUUCCAGUAUGUAUCCUACUACCCACGGUGCCGCUUAUAUAAGAGCGCCCUCCUGAGGCUGUCAGAAUAACUGGGGCGAGGCAGGGAAUGAGAGGGGACACCAGGCCUGAGGAGUGAGGAGAACAGACUAGAAUGGCUUCCUGACCGAAACUACACCCGCUCAACCCCAGGCCUGUGUAAUAGGCACUUCCACUUUAGUGUGAGGGUAAAUCCCAGAACACUGAAGAAACACAGCCCAGAGCUGGCAUCCUUUUGGCCAUUUCCUGAAGUGGAGCUGGAUUUCAGAGGGCUGUCUCAAAUGACAGUGUCAGCACUAGGAGCUGAUGGUUAAAGCUCUGCAAGAAAACAGCAUCCAGCAUUUUCUUUUGCUACUCUCAUGGGCCAACAUGAAAGUGCGUAAUGAUGGACACAGGCUUUGCUUAAGUGGAGCAAAGGGCUUCAGUGAAAUUCAAUAUUGUCAACGUGCUCUGGGAUGUGAAUUCCAUCCCUCCAGUCUGGGUGACACCUUCAUCUUCUCAACCAGCACUGAUAUUCCUGCCCAGGAACUUAAGAACUGCCCCUUGCUGUGGUCUGGGUCUCAAGGCUCUUUUCCUGGGAGCUUAAGACUUUUGACUUUUCCCUUGAAGGUGUCCACAUGCCUCCAUGCCUGGCUUACCUGCAGCCUGUCUAACCCCCAAGAGAUGCAUCUGAGACAGCGUCAUAACCUCUGCUUCCAAACCACCAUCGCUAAAGGCACAGUCCUGAGGGAAAUGAAUCAUCGCCUUGGAAAUUUGCAACCUAUGGGCUGAAUUCAGCUCACAGAAGUGUUUUUUCCACAGGGUGUUUUGCUUUGAUUUUUAAACUUGAAUUAGAUGCCUAUAUAAAAAAUCAGGAUAUUGAAUCUAAAAAUCCAAAUUUCUAAAUCUAAAAAUCCAAAUUUCUAACUUCUCCUGAAAAGUAGAUUGCUCCAGCAGUUCUGGCCUGUGUUUCUAUUGUAUGCUCCUACACUGUUCAACAAAAGUUCUGACAAUAAAAUUUGUUAUUUAAAAAGUUCUAUUUAUGAAUACAAGUAUUUGAGUGCUGUUACUUUUAUACAGCCUAAGUGAGGAGGAGUACAAAUUCCAUCUUCUAAUCACCACUGUUCCGUGAAUCUAUUCAGUCUUUUAUAUUUUCUGUGGGUGUUUAAGUAUUUCUAUUUCCUACCACCAAUUGUCACUUUCAGUACUAGGACAACUAGCCAAAGAGAUUUUAGUUUCGGAUAAUUUGUUAAUCAAGGCAUCAUUUAGAAAAAUUACUUACUGUUUAUUUCGAAUUGCCUGACUACAUAAUAAUCAUGACAUGUAUCCUUAAACACAUGACCUACUUCACUGUACAUUUUACUUGAUCAUCCCAGCACACUGUCUGCAUGGUCAACUUGGUGUUCAUAAACUGUGAAAUCAUGUGAUAUGGUCAACUCCUACUUGGAGCUUGCUUAUACCUUAUAUAGAGAGAGGGGCUGUGGGGCAUCACUGGUGAGUGUGGGAGGCCUGAAAGGAAGUCCUAUAUCUCCCUCUCCUUUGGACGCAAAGGCAGCACAAUUUGGAGCCCAGAGUUAAACUGUGGUUUCAGCAUUGUGAACACAAGUGUAAAGUCCUGUCUCUGAAGCCUUUUCCUGCUCUCUCUUAGGAUUAGGGGCUCCUCCCUAGUGUCCCCAUAGCUUUCUGAGCCUGUUCCUAUUACUGCCCACCCCAUUGUAUUGUAAUUACUUGUUUCUGUGUCUGUGUCCUACCUAGAGGUGAGUCUUGAAGAUGGGAAUGAUGUCUUUCCCAUGAUUAUAGCCCCAGGCCCAGCGAGGCCUUGAGGAAUGAUCUAGAGACACAGCACUCUUCAAC